UACGUAGGGUGCGAGCGUUGUCCGGAAUUAUUGGGCGUAAAGAGCGUGUAGGCGGCCAGGUAGGUCUGCUGUGAAAACUCGAGGCUUAACCUCGAGAUGUCGGCGGAAACCAUCUGGCUAGAGUCCGGAAGAGGAGAGUGGAAUUCCUGGUGUAGCGGUGAAAUGCGCAGAUAUCAGGAAGAACACCAACGGCGAAGGCAGCUCGCUGGGACGUACUGACGCUGAGACGCGAAAGCGUGGGGAGCGAACAGG
rnacentral:rRNA from 1 species